AUGCUCAAUCAGUUAGGGUGUAGAGGCUACUUACAAAAACACAUUCAAAUAAAAGAUAAAAGAAAUCAAAUGAUUGAAAACAUAAGCAAGUUUACCUCAUCAUGUUUGCCAAAUAAAAUAGACGUGUUGAAUUUUAAGUUAGUAGACAACCCUUCUUCCUUCUUGGCACUGAAACAUCGGAUGAAGAAAUUCGAUGUCGUCACAGAGACGGUGGGCAGAGAAGAACCAUCGAUUUACUGA